rnacentral:rRNA from 1 species
GACGAACGCUGGCGGCGUGCUUAAUACAUGCAAGUCGAACGGAAAGGCCCUGCUUCUGUGGGGUGCUCGAGUGGCGAACGGGUGAGUAACACGUGAGUAACCUGCCCUUGACUUUGGGAUAACUUCAGGAAACUGGGGCUAAUACCGGAUAGGAGCUCCUGCUGCAUGGUGGGGGUUGGAAAGUUUCGGCGGUUGGGGAUGGACUCGCGGCUUAUCAGCUUGUUGGUGGGGUAGUGGCUUACCAAGGCUUUGACGGGUAGCCGGCCUGAGAGGGUGACCGGCCACAUUGGGACUGAGAUACGGCCCAGACUCCUACGGGAGGCAGCAGUGGGGAAUAUUGCACAAUGGGCGGAAGCCUGAUGCAGCAACGCCGCGUGCGGGAUGACGGCCUUCGGGUUGUAAACCGCUUUCGCCUGUGACGAAGCGUGAGUGACGGUAAUGGGUAAAGAAGCACCGGCUAACUACGUG